UACAGAGGGUGCGAGCGUUAAUCGGAAUUACUGGGCGUAAAGCGUGCGUAGACGGUUAUCUAAGUCGGAUGUGAAAGCCCCGGGCUCAACCUGGGAAUUGCAUUCGAGACUGAAUAGCUAGGGUGCGGUAGAGGGAAGCGGAAUUUCCGGUGUAGGGGUGAAAUGCGUAGAUAUCGGAAGGAACAUCAGUGGCGAAAGCGGCUUCCUGGACCAGCACCGACGUUCAGGCACGAAAGCGUGGGGAGCAAACAGG
rnacentral:rRNA from 1 species